AAAGUCGUAACAAGGUUUCCGUAGGUGAACCUGCGGAAGGAUCAUUACCAAUUUUUAGCGGACCUGAUCUUUGGUCAUGGUUUCGCGAAAACUUGUAUUUAAAACCCCACUCUUAUAAAUUGAAUCCAUUUUAUUAUAAUAAUAAAUAAAGAUCACUUUCAACAACGGAUCUCUUGGCUCUC
rnacentral:misc_RNA from 1 species